GCCACCCUACCACACGGCAUCGCACAGGCAAGAACAAAGCCGACAGCCCAGUUGAUUGCCCGCUGCUGCUGCUGCUGCUGUGCGAUCCCCUCCCGUGCCCUGCAUCGCUUUACCGAGCGUCUUUCGUGGCAUCGCGCGUGUAUACGCGUGCAAGCAGACGAUGCACUGCGCUCCUCUUCGCUCCCUCCCGACAUGCGCGUGUAGUGUGCGUGCCCGUGCUUGCUCGGCGAUUGGCUCGCUCUCCUCCUCCCCCUCCACGCAAAGGCCCACGGGCGUCACACGACGCCAAUACAUCCAUUGAGGAGACUCGGAAGGGAGACGGCGCUGCACCACUAUCAGCAUGACCCUCAUGCACGACGACGUGCUCGUCGUCGCCGAAGUGUCCGUGUGCAAUGUGUCGUGGCUUGCCGUAGAUACCCACAGCCUGCUGCUGGCCUCCGCCACCGCUGAUGCGGCACGAAUCUCUCAGAAAGAGCAGUGGCAGCAGCACAGGUCACAUGAUGGGGGCAUGUGGACGGAGAACGAAGAUUUUCAGCUCGACUUUGUGCUUUACGACGCGAAGGCGAGUGCCAUGAACGAUAAGAGCGAGGUUGUCGACUACGCCUUCCUCACAGCGCAGCCGCAGCCAUCACGGGUGCCUGGCGAGGCUCUGGUAACGUGCCAGGCGCGCCUAAAGCACUGGAUGGAGGCCUGCUAUGCGGCGUACUACGCAGCACGCUUCAUUGACCACCUGCGCAGCGCCUCCCCAGCGCUUUCUUUCGAAUACGACUCGGUGCUGAAACUGAUCAGCUCGGCAGAUGGGCAGCGCACUGUGCGUGGUCUUGUCGCGCCUACAUUGGACGGCAGCGGCCACCAUCUCAUCAGCUUUACCGUACCGCUGCUCGUGAAGGGGCGGGCAGCGAAGGUGUUUCAAUCGCUGAACAACGUUGCAGUGCUGUAUUGCAAGGUGUCCCAUGUCAAGUGGAAGCCAUCGUACCAGCUGACCAGCGUCGAGGCCGACGUGCACACGCGCUUCCGCACGGCUCAGCGGACUGGCAGGAUUACUCUCAUUGCAGAGUCGGUAGUGCUGCGCCUUCGUGACGCUGCUGCUGGCGCAGCAGCGGGUGCCACCACCGAGGGGCGCGCUGCCGACUCUCUUAUCUCAUUUCUGAACAGCUGAGUCGAUUUGCACGGCCUUCCGCGACUAUCCAUGACCCAGCAGGGUGCCGGCUUCCCAGAUCAUAUUCCACGACUGGAGCAUACGCUGUACCGCCGCAUCCGCGAGCCGCUACACUUCAUGAAGCUGGUUCUGGGGCUCAUGGUGGACUUUGGCAGCCCAAUCGACGUCAGCGCAAGCUGUAGAGCACUGACUGCAACGGUUGACAGUACCACGCCGCAGCUGCCAUUGUCGUGGUCGCCGCCGCCGCCGCAGCAUCCACCGCCGAUGCGCAAGACGGCCACGUUCUGUGUUGUGUAUCGCACCACAAAGAUGAGCUUUACCAUUGGCCUCCACGACCAGAGCGGUGAUGAAUGCCUGUCAGUGGAGACGACGUGCAACCAGUACCUGGACACCCGACACGGCGCAACGGUCUCUCGCAGGGUGAAGUUCUCAAGGAGCGCCUCGAGUAUGCGCAAGGACGAUGACGGCUUCCUCGAUGUUGAGGAUCUGCGCGUCAUAGUGGUGCGCGAGACACUCGAGUGCAUGUCGGGUUCCGCUGCCCAGGCCUGAGCGCGCACCGGGAUACGGCGGAGAGCGGCGUGUGUGUUGUUGAGUCGGCUGCCGAUUUAUGUUUUCUUCAUGUUAGCGCUGUGGCUCCACGUGUGCAAUCUCACGUUGCUCACGUUAUUCGCUCGUUCGCUCUCGUUGUGUGCCACUUCCAGCAUCUCGCGAGUGUGUGGGUGUGGCGUAGUUUUUUGUGUCGGUCUGCGUCAGCGCGCGUGCGUGCGCGCUUUACUGCUUCGCUUGCUACUCUCCUACCAAGAUUCUCGGAGUUGUCUCUUCGCUCUCGCCGAACUCUCCGCUGCCGUGCCGCACUCCUUCCUCUGUCUUCAUUUUCUUGGCGGACUGGGCUGAUGUGUAUACGCGAUGUGCCCCCGUUUUCAUUUUGCGCUUCCUUCUCCGCUGCGCCACCCCGCAUGGACUUUGACCUCUCGAUUUCUCUCCCUCUGGCUUGCGUGCAUCACGUCGAU
rnacentral:misc_RNA from 1 species